GCCUCGGUGGCUCAGCCUGGAAGAGCGAUUGACUUGUAAUCAAUAGGUCGAGGGUUCAAAUCCCUCCCGGGGCU
rnacentral:tRNA from 1 species